GGUCGAAGACGCUUUGGUAAUCUUGAGAUAACAUUUCAAGAAAUUAAGGGCUGCAAGAGCUCACCUCUCACCGGAGUUGUCCAACUAGAAAAUGCACAUAAUCAGGAUUUGUUCGUAAUAGAUAGAUGCUGUAAAAAAAAGCUACCUAUACUUAAGAACAAGAAAGCUAAAUGGAAAAGACAUCACUAUACAUCCCACUAUAUAAAUGAAACGCGUCUUGCAGAUAAACCCACACAUUAAACGGCAGGGAUUGUAAAGACCUUGCGAAAUUUUGAACUACAUAAGAGCAUCAGACACAACACACACUAUUACUUCCGUUUCUUCCAGAAAUUAAGGAAAUCUAUGAGAGAAGGGGAAUUUGACAUGUUCUGUUAUGAAUCUAUGCAUGGAAGGCGAGAUCAUAUAGCUAUGGCUGCAAUGUGCUAGUGGAUAGAUUUUGGUUCUCUUUGAUGCAGGAUGAAAAGCUCUCCUUGCAGCGUUCAAAAUUCCGCUAUAUUUGUUUUUGCUUUUGAAGUUACUGUAAAAAUUUUGUUCAUGAUGUGAAACAAGAAAAGGCUGUGGAAAAUGGCGCGUUAGGCCUUG